AUGAGUAUCCCACACUGGAGGGCUGCUAUGGAACAAGAAUAUCAUGCUCUUAUGCAGAAUAAGACCUGGACAAUUGUUCCACCUCCGUCUCGUGUCAACAUCAUCGAUUCGAAGUGGGUUUUCAAGGUGAAGAAAUAUGCAGAUGGUUCCAUUGAGUGCUACAAAGCGCGUCUUGUGGCUAAGGGCUUUAAACAACGUCAGGGACUGGACUAUGAGGAUACAUUUAGCCCCGUUGUCAAGCCUACCACUAUUCAACUUCUUCUAUCUCUGGCAGUUUCUCGUGGAUGGUCUCUCUGCCAGCUUGACGUGCAGAACGCUUUUCUACAUGGACUGCUUGAAGAGGAGGUUUACAUGAGGCAGCCACCUGGAUUUGUUGAUCACACUCAGCCUUAUCACCUCUAUCGUCUGACGAAGGCUCUCUAUGGACUGAAACAGGCGCCUCGUGCCUGGCAUGCUCACCUUGCUUUAGCUUUACGGACUCAUGGAUUCAUCCCAUCGAUGGCUGAUACUUCACUGUUCUUGUUUUAG
rnacentral:rRNA from 1 species